rnacentral:pre_miRNA from 1 species
UUUUCGUUUUUCCGUGUCCAACGUUUGACUAUUCGUCUUAUUUGAAAAAUUUGUAUAAAAACUUAAAAAAAUUAGUUAUGUAUAAAGUAUUAUUCAUAUUUUAUCAUCUAGUAACAAUAAAAAUAUUAAUCGUCAAAAAAUUUCAAAUAAAACGAAUGGUCAAACGUUGGAAACGGAAAAAC